rnacentral:misc_RNA from 1 species
GUUUCUUGGAGUGCAAUUUGAAGACCUUGGCGAGCAAGUAAUGUGUUGUAUAAAUUAAGCCCUUGACCUUCAUUGUAAUUUAUCUCAAAAUCAUGCAGAGAUCAACCACAGAUAUUCCACUUAUAAUUGAUGGGUGAGGAAGUGUGUGUUGUUGAGGUCCGGGACCUUUAUCAUUAUACUUCUUCUUCAUUGAUUGCUAGUGGAUUGUUAGCGGUGGCCAUGGAC